ACGAACGCUGGCGGCGUGCCUAAUACAUGCCAGUCGAACGCUUCUUUCCUCCCGAGUGCUUGCACUCAAUUGGAAAGAGGCGUGGCGGACGGGUGAGUAACACGUGGGUAACCUACCCAUCAGAGGGGGAUAACACUUGGAAACAGGUGCUAAUACCGCAUAACAGUUUAUGCCGCAUGGCAUAAGAGUGAAAGGCGCUUUCGGGUGUCGUUGAUGGAUGGACCCGCGGUGCAUUAGCUAGUUGGUGAGGUAACGGCUCACCAAGGCCACGAUGCAUAGCCGACCUGAGAGGGUGAUCGGCCACACUGGGACUGAGACACGGCCCAGACUCCUACGGGAGGCAGCAGUAGGGAAUCUUCGGCAAUGGACGAAAGUCUGACCGAGCAACGCCGCGUGAGUGAAGAAGGUUUUCGGAUCGUAAAACUCUGUUGUUAGAGAAGAACAAGGACGUUAGUAACUGAACGUCCCCUGACGGUAUCUAACCAGAAAGCCACGGCUAACUACGUG
rnacentral:rRNA from 1 species